rnacentral:rRNA from 1 species
UACGUAGGGUGCAAGCGUUAAUCGGAAUUACUGGGCGUAAAGCGUGCGCAGGCGGUUCGGAAAGCGAGGUGUGAAAUCCCAGGGCUUAACCUUGGAACUGCACUUUUAACUACCGGGCUAGAGUACGUCAGAGGGGGGUAGAAUUCCACGUGUAGCAGUGAAAUGCGUAGAGAUGUGGAGGAAUACCGAUGGCGAAGGCAGCCCCCUGGGAUGAUACUGACGCUCAUGCACGAAAGCGUGGGGAGCAAACAGG